rnacentral:miRNA from 1 species
GGAGAAAUUAUCCUUGCUGUGU